GCGAUCUUCCCUUUCGCCUAGAUCCGGUCUUUCUCCCUUCUCUCUCCUCCCAUUUCCCCCUCAGCUCCGACGAUGCCCUAGCCCCGUCGCCCCGCCGGAGUUCCACCCGCACGGCCUCUCGCCACCGGAGUUCCGCCAGGCUCGCCCCUCCUCGUUUGCUGCGGCCACUUAUUAUCAUUUUUUAUUACCUUCCUCUGCUAACUACUGAACUACAAUCGUCCGAUUCCUCCGAUCGAUAGAUAAUCUAGCUACAUUGCUCAAUAUCGUACGCGGGCGGAAACUCUUGCUUUUCGAGGCUCAGACAGUUCCGUGUUGGAGCUAGGGUUUCUCGUCGAAGAGGCAUCGUGAUCAGCAUUCCCAUUUUAGAGGAGUAGAGCAGUAAAUGGAGAUAAAGGAUUCCGUUACUGAUAUUCCAAUUCAGGACCCUCCAGGAGAUGUAUUUUCUGCUGCCGACCUGACAUGGACGAAGUUUGGAAGCACGGAACACCAUGUUGAUGAUGUCGCCCUCAUUCCUUACACUCGAGUUGAGGCUUUUAUAAGCGGCGAAAGUUCAAACGCAGAGUGUCCUACUCGUUUUCACAUUGAAAGGGGAAGGAAAAGAGAGAAGGGAAGCUUGAAGGAAUUUAAAAGUGAUGAAUAUCUCCUAUACAGGCUUUACUGGUGUUCAUUUGGUCCCGAGAACUAUGGAGAGGGAGGGAACAUCUUGCCGAGCCGAAGAUACAGACUCAACACAAGAAAUCGUGCCGCUCGGCCGCAGUCUAUGCGUGGUUGCACUUGCCACUUUGCUAUCAAGCGCUUGUACGCCCGUCCCUCAGUUGCGCUCAUCAUAUACCAUGAAAGGCGCCACAUUAACAAGUCUGGCUUUAUAUGCCAUGGUCCUCUAGAUAGAGAUGCCAUUGGCCCAGGUGCCAAGAAGGUCCCAUACAUAUGCAGUGAAAUUCAGCAGCAAACUAUAUCGAUGAUUUAUCUCGGAAUCCCUGAGGAGAAUAUAUUGCAGACACAUAUAGAAGGCGUGCAAAGGUAUUGUGGCUCGAAUGCGAGGGUAGAUAGUCUUGCUUCUCAAUAUGUCCAAAAGCUUGGAAUGAUUAUAAAGAGGUCUACUCAUGAAUUGGAUCUAGAUGACCAGGCUAGCAUUCGGAUGUGGGUUGAGAGGAAUAAGAAAUCAGUGUUUUUCUACCAAGAUUCAACAGAGACUGACCCUUUUAUCCUAGGAAUCCAAACAGAGUGGCAGUUGCAGCAGAUGAUUCGUUUUGGACACCAAAGUAUUCUGGCAUGUGACUCAACUUUCGGUAUAAGCAAGCUGAAGUAUCCACUUUACACGCUACUUGUUUUCGAUUCAAGACAACAUGCUCUUCCUGUUGCGUGGGUCAUUACUCGAACUAUUGUUAAGAAGGAUGUUGCUAAAUGGAUGCAAACACUUGCAGAUAGGAUUCAUGCAGUUGAUUUGAGUUGGAGAGUUUGUGGGUUUAUAAUUGAUGACCCAACUUUAGAGCUUGACCCCAUCAGGGAUGUAUUUUGUUGCCCUAUUCUAUUCUCUUUAUGGCGUAUUCGUAGGUCAUGGCUAAAGAAUGUAAUUAAGAGAUGCACCAACAAUGAAAUUCAACGUGAAAUAUUUCAACGUCUGGGCAAAAUUAUCUACAGCUUUUGGAGUGAAGUGGAUGCAAUGGGUGGUGUAGAGGAGUUAAUUCAAGAUUUUGUAGACCAGACUACCUUCAUGCAGUAUUUUAAGGCAUUCUGGGUUCCCAAAAUUGAGAUGUGGCUUGAAACUCUGAAGAGUCUUCCCCUAGCCAGCCAGGAGUCCUGUGGUGCUAUUGAAGGAUACCAUCUAAAGCUUAAGACCAAAAUCUACGAUGACUCCAAUCUUGGUGCCCUAAAACGCGUCGAUUGGUUAGUUCAUAAGCUCACAACCGAGAUCCACUCGGGUUAUUGGCUUGAUCUCUUUGCCGAUGAGAGCGGGUCAUUCCCAACAGUAAAAGAGGAGUACAUUUCUUCCACGUCCUGGCAUCGAGCACUACAAAUUCCUGAUGAUGCCGUACGUUUUGAUAAUGAAAAUUGUCUUUUCGCAGAAGUUGUCAGCCAGAAGGAUUGUACUCAAACACACAAAGUAUGGAAUCCGGGAUGUGAAUUCUCUCUCUGUAAUUGUUCUUGGUCGAUGCAGGGAAACCUUUGCAAACAUGUCAUAAAGGUUAACAUGCUUUGCCAAGGUAUGGAGGAAUUUCCUCCUCCUCUUUCGUACCAGUCAUUUCGACGAAUUUUACUUGAUCUCUGGAGGCGACCAUUGGAUGACUCAAUCUCACUUGAUCAAUUGGUGGCAUGGGCUACCCAAACGCAGGAGAGGAUUCAAACACUAACUGAGCUUGCUAUUUCCGGUGAUAUUGCAAAAGUUGCAAAGAAUUUGCCACUGAAAUGGUUUUGUAAGAAAGGGAGAACAUUUAACGGUAGACCAGCUGGUGGUAGUGCUCUUGUGCUUGUUCAAUCUGGCAGCAGUGGAAAGAGAAGCGUUACGAAGAAGAAGAAUCGAAAGAGGAAGAGGCUGUCGAGGAUAAAGGGUUCAUGAUUAGUUGGUUUGGCUGAAUAGAAGGUUAUAUUCAGCAAAUAAUAAUAUUACCCAAAUCUCGGGGGGCGAGCAAUAUGGAAAUGCUAUCAUCGUAUCCAUAAAAGAGAAGAAGAUAAUUUCACUGUGCCGACAAUGACUAUUUUGGAAUAGUUUAUUCCGUGUUCCUGCAAGAAAGAUAUUGCAUUGUUCAUUUGGGCAUGCUGAAACUAAUACAGUAAGGUGUGAAGAUGUUUUCAGAAAUCUUGUUAUUUGUGAAACCAUAUACAGUAAGGCCACGUCUAUGGCCAAGAAACCCUACGCCCUUGGAGAUGAGCCUCCAACCCUAUGAUUUAGAUGCAAUUUUAUUUCCCUGUUUUGCGGAGUUUUGUUUAAGACCCAGUUGAAGUUUUCUUCGGUGAAGGCUCCAUGGCUCUUGCAAGCUUUGCAUCAUUGGGAGAUCUCUACCUGUACAAGCUUUCUAAACUUGUCUGCAAUGAACAUGUUGCACAAUGGGCGGUAUCCUUUUCUUUUUAUUUACUUUGAUCAACUUAAUAAUUCUUGAUUUUGUUUGAGUGGUCUUGGGGAUGACCUUGACCCUCCGAUGUAGCCCUUUUAUCAGUUCGUGAACUUAUUCUUGUUUUUUUGUUUUACUCGAACUUUAUCAAAUACCUUGGAAACAGUGCUGACCGUAAUAGGACUGUUCUAUUGGUUAUCAUUAAUUGCUUCCUCCAAGCAAGUUCCAGUUGCUUCAAGGAAACUGGCUUUAAUUAUUGCAGCAUUGGCUUGUGCCAUUCGGCCUACAAGUGCUAUAACAUGGCUAUAUGUUGGGUUGCUGGAUCUCAUUGGGAUGCAGUCAAAAUUGCAAUAUCUGUUCCUUGAUGUUGUCCAGGUAGGGUAGGUAUAACCCAGAGGCUGCAGCAUAGUUGGUCACAAUUCCAAUCACAAUGCAUAGCUGUAUCUCAUUUCUGAUCAUUGAAUUCGUCUAUUGACGUAGGAUUACUGCAUUUUAAUUUGGCAUAUGAUCAACUGGUUCAUGGAUGACAUUUAUUCUUCAACGUUACCUUUAGAUUGUGCACAUUCUUUAUGUCUUGUUUUAUCAAUGCUCUUUUGUUCGUAUUUUCUUCUAUUCUUAGCAAUUUUCUGGUGUUAACAGGGUUCUUGUGCUUGCAGCUACAUGCUUCUUGAAUAGGUGGAUGUAUGAGUUAUAGGUCGUUGUGCCUCUUCACUUCCUUAAAAAUUAAUUUUCUUUCUUCUGCAGGGGACUACUAUGGAACCCAUCAUUCUCAUUGGUAUUUCACCCAGGGAUUUCCCUCCAUGGUUUGGUGUUUCUUACUAUUUUCAGUCAUUGGCAUCAUAGAGUCAAAAUUGUCGAGACUUUCAGGUCUUAUUGCUUGUGUAUUAGGAGUUGAUAGUGUUUUUGGUCACAAAGAAUUAGGUAUAGACAUUGAUCAUGUAUAAUCAGCACAUAACAGUGUUCUUAAUGUCAAGUUACCUUUCCCACUUCUGUAUGAUAAGACAAAAAUGUUUGGGAAUGAGAGGUUUGUUCCUGCGAUGC